rnacentral:rRNA from 1 species
CGUGGGGUGCAAGCGUUAUCCGGAAUUAUUGGGCGUAAAGAGAUGCGUAGGUGGUCAGUAAAGUUUCUGGUGAAAUCCUCAGGCUCAACCUGGGAACUGCCAAGAAUACUCACUGACUUAGAGGGGAUCAGGGGGUGCUGGAACUCGUGGUGUAGUAGUAAAAUGCGUUGAUAUCACGAGGAACACCAAAGGCGAAGGCAGGCACCUGGGAUUCUCCUGACACUGAGGCUCGAAAGCGUGGGGAGCGAAACGGAUUAGAUACCCGUGUAGUCCACGCCGUAAACGAUGGAUACUAGAUGCUUGGGGUAUUGACCCCCUGGGCGUCGUAAGCUAACGCGUUAAGUAUCCCGCCUGGGGAGUACGGUCGCAAGACUA